GACGGAGGGUGCAAGCGUUACUCGGAAUCACUGGGCGUAAAGGGUACGUAGGCGGCCCGUUUAGCUGGAUGUGAAAUCCCACGGCUUAACCGUGGAACUGCGUCCAGAACUGGCGGGCUUGAGAACGGUAGGGGACAGUGGAACUCAAGGUGGAGCGGUGAAAUGCGUAGAGAUCUUGAGGAACACCGGUGGCGAAAGCGACUGUCUGGGCCGUUUCUGACGCUGAGGUACGAAAGCCAGGGUAGCGAACGGG
rnacentral:rRNA from 1 species